CAGUAGCCGCGGGAAUACGUAGGGUGCAAGCGUUAAUCGGAAUUACUGGGCGUAAAGCGUGCGCAGGCGGUUAUAUAAGACAGAUGUGAAAUCCCCGGGCUCAACCUGGGAACUGCAUUUGUGACUGUAUAGCUAGAGUACGGCAGAGGGGGAUGGAAUUCCGCGUGUAGCAGUGAAAUGCGUAGAUAUGCGGAGGAACACCGAUGGCGAAGGCAAUCCCCUGGGCCUGUACUGACGCUCAUGCACGAAAGCGUGGGGAGCAAACAGGAUUAGAUACCCGAGUAGUCCCUGUCUCUUAUAA
rnacentral:rRNA from 1 species